rnacentral:rRNA from 1 species
CCUACGGGAGGCAGCAGUGGGGAAUAUUGGACAAUGGGCGAAAGCCUGAUCCAGCAAUGCCGCGUGAGUGAUGAAGGCCUUAGGGUUGUAAAGCUCUUUUACCAGGGAUGAAUAAUGACAGUACCUGGAGAAUAAGCUCCGGCUAACUCCGUGCCAGCAGCCGCGGUAAUACGGAGGGAGCUAGCGUUAUUCGGAAUUACUGGGCGUAAAGCGUACGUAGGCGGUUAUUCAAGUCAGAGGUGAAAGCCCGGGGCUCAACCCCGGAACUGCCUUUGAAACUAGAUAACUAGAGUCUUGGAGAGGUUAGUGGAAUUCCGAGUGUAGAGGUGAAAUUCGUAGAUAUUCGGAAGAACACCAGUGGCGAAAGGCGACUAACUGGACAAGUACUGACGCUGAGGUACGAAAGACGUGGGGAGCAAACAGGAUUAGAUACCCUGGUAGUCCACGCCGUAAACGAUGAUAACUAGCUGUCCGGGCACUUGGUGCCUGGGUGGCGCAGCUAACGCAUUAAGUUAUCCGCCUGGGGAGUACGGUCGCAAGAUUAAAACUCAAAGGAAUUGACGG